rnacentral:rRNA from 1 species
CCUACGGGAGGCAGCAGUAGGGAAUCUUCCACAAUGGGCGCAAGCCUGAUGGAGCAACACCGCGUGAGUGAAGAAGGGUUUCGGCUCGUAAAGCUCUGUUGGUGGAGAAGAACGUGCGUGAGAGUAACUGUUCACGCAGUGACGGUAUCCAACCAGAAAGUCACGGCUAACUACGUGCCAGCAGCCGCGGUAAUACGUAGGUGGCAAGCGUUAUCCGGAUUUAUUGGGCGUAAAGCAAGCGCAGGCGGUGGCAUAGGCCUGAGGUGAAAGCCUUCGGCUUAACCGAAGAAGUGCAUCGGAAACCGGGCAACUUGAGUGCAGAAGAGGACAGUGGAACUCCAUGUGUAGCGGUGGAAUGCGUAGAUAUAUGGAAGAACACCAGUGGCGAAGGCGGCUGUCUGGUCUGUAACUGACGCUGAGGCUCGAAAGCAUGGGUAGCGAACAGGAUUAGAUACCCGAGUAGUC